AAUCCUGGCUCAGGACGAACGCUGGCGGCGUGCUUAACACAUGCAAGUCGAACGAGAAUCUGCUGAAGGAGGAUUCGUCCAACGGAAGUAGAGGAAAGUGGCGGACGGGUGAGUAACGCGUGAGGAACCUGCCUUGAAGAGGGGGACAACAGUUGGAAACGACUGCUAAUACCGCAUGAAGCAUAGGGGUCGCAUGAUCUUUAUGCCAAAGAUUUAUCGCUUCAAGAUGGCCUCGCGU
rnacentral:rRNA from 1 species